UAGAUUGGUCAUGGUGAUCCUUAUGGUAUGGCUAUAACUCAUGAAAUGUCUGCAGGCAUGGGCGGCAUACGUACUGCCGGAGAUCUGGUAGCACGGAUGC
rfam:Desulfosporosinus orientis DSM 765, complete genome.